rnacentral:rRNA from 1 species
AUGGGCAGGCCGAGGGCUGAAUCUUCGAAGCCGGAGGAUCGAGUUCCGCUGCUGCGCACGCCAGGAGCAGGUGAUGGAGCGUCUCUUGCGCUUGAUAUGUCGCGAUCUGCUGUGUUUUCUUUGCAGAUAUCCGAUCUCGACUUAGCGAUUCUUGGUUUCUUUCGAAUAGGCUGGAUUGCCGAAGGCCAAGAAGACGUUCUUGAGCAAGAUAAUCAGCUUCAGCAAGAACAAGUUAGAAGUCCUAAAGCCAAAGUGCAGGCAAUUUCUUUCGAGGGCUCCCUUGAUUAUUGUGCUGAACAGAUUCGUGCAAUUCAUUUACAUGAAAGAGUAGAUCCUGUGAAUGCGUUGGACUUUCGUGGUCUCUACUCAGACUUUAGGCCAGAGCAAGUUCUUGAUAGGCAAGACACAAAUGAGGAAGAAUGCCUCCUUGCAGCUAUUGAAGAGGUGGCUGACGAGGAACAUGCAUGUUUCUCUGAAUUUUCUAGUAGCCACAAAGCAUUUAAGGAGUUGAUAAAGAAAGUAAAGAGCUGGAAGAAAAAAUGCAGAUUGAUCCCCGUAUUAACUGAGAGGUUAGUAGCAGCUAUCUGGUUAUGCUCGCACAUGGCGGACUAUGAAGAGGUUAUACCUGGACUUGGAGAAAAUGACAGUGUGACAGAUCACAGGCUCUAG